GCUGGAGUGGAAGAGUGGUCAAUUCGGGAGAUUUAAGUCCUCCUGCCGAAAGGCGCGUGGGUUCGAGCCCCACCUCCAGCA